GAGAGGAUGAUCAGUCACACUGGAACUGAGACACGGUCCAGACUCCUACGGGAGGCAGCAGUGGGGAAUAUUGGACAAUGGGCGAAGCCUGAUCCAGCCAUGCCGCGUGUGUGAAGAAGGUCUUCGGAUUGUAAAGCACUUUAAGUCGGGAGGAAGGCUGCAGGCCAAUACCUUGCAGUUUUGACGUUACCGACAGAAUAAGCACCGGCUAACUUCGUGCCAGCAGCCGCGGUAAUACGAAGGGUGCAAGCGUUAAUCGGAAUUACUGGGCGUAAAGCGCGCGUAGGCGGUUCAGCAAGUUGGAUGUGAAAGCCCCGGGCUCAACCUGGGAACUGCAUCCAAAACUACUGGGCUAGAGUACGGUAGAGGGUGGUGGAAUUUCCUGUGUAGCGGUGAAAUGCGUAGAUAUAGGAAGGAACACCAGUGGCGAAGGCGACCACCUGGAUUGAUACUGACGCUGAGGUGCGAAAGCGUGGGGAGCAAACAGGAUUAGAUACCCUGGUAGUCCACGCCGUAAACGAUGUCGACUAGCCGUUGGGCUCCUUGAGAGCUUAGUGGCGCAGCUAACGCAUUAAGUCGACCGCCUGGGGAGUACGGCCGCAAGGUUAAAACUCAAAUGAAUUGACGGGGGCCCGCACAAGCGGGGAGCAUGUGGUUUAAUUCGAAGCAACGCGAAGAACCUUACCUGGCCUUGACAUGCUGAGAACUUUCCAGAGAUGGAUUGGUGCCUUCGGGAACUCAGACACAGGUGCUGCAUGGCUGUCGUCAGCUCGUGUCGUGAGA
rnacentral:rRNA from 1 species